rnacentral:rRNA from 1 species
UACGAAGGGGCUAGCGUUGCUCGGAAUCACUGGGCGUAAAGCGCACGUAGGCGGCUUUUUAAAGUCAGAGGUGAAAAUCCUGGAGCUCAACUCCAGAACUGCCUUUGAUACUGGAGCGCUUGAGUCCGGGGAGAGGUGAGUGGAACUGCGAGUGUAGAGGUGAAAUUGUAGAUAUUCGCAAAGAACACCAGUGGCGAAGGCGGCUCACUGGCCC